UACGUAGGGUGCGAGCGUUAAUCGGAAUUACUGGGCGUAAAGCGUGCGCAGGCGGUGAUGUAAGACCGAUGUGAAAUCCCCGGGCUUAACCUGGGAACUGCAUUGGUGACUGCAUCGCUCGAGUAUGGCAGAGGGGGGUAGAAUUCCACGUGUAGCAGUGAAAUGCGUAGAGAUGUGGAGGAAUACCGAUGGCGAAGGCAGCCCCCUGGGUCAAUACUGACGCUCAUGCACGGAAAGCGUGGGGAGCAAACAGG
rnacentral:rRNA from 1 species